AUCCGGCUGACGAGUUUCAAAUGGGACGAAACGAGAGUUCUGGAU
rnacentral:hammerhead_ribozyme from 1 species